UACAUACAUACAUACAUACAUACAAUAAGAGAAUUUAUUUACAACAUGAUAUCUUUUUAUUAUUAUUUCAGAUAUUUUUCUUUAUUUAGAUAAUAUAAUAAAUCCACCAAAGAACUUAUAUAAAGAAUUCAUUUCUUUACCUGAUUCAAAUACCAUUGCAUUAAUAUGAUAUAAAUAUUUCUCAACAGAAUAGUUUAUGGAACAAUGUGCAUACUGAUGAAUUAGAAUAGUGAUUAAAUAGAACCUAUCAAUUAAUGUUUUUAAAUAUUGUAUUUGAAUACAAAGAUAUAUAAUAUAAAAAAAGUGAGAAGAAAGGAUAACUU
rnacentral:lncRNA from 1 species